AUCUGGCUCAGGACGAACGCUGGCGGCAUGCCUAAUACAUGCAAGUCGAGCGGACUUGAUGAGAAGCUUGCUUCUCUGAUGGUUAGCGGCGGACGGGUGAGUACACGUAGGCAACCUGCCCUCAAGUUUGGGACAACUACCGGAAACGGUAGCUUAAUACCGAAUAGUUGUUUUCUUCGCCUGAAGGAAACUGGAAAGACGGAGCAAUCUGUCACUUGGGGAUGGGCCUGCGGCGCAUUAGCUAGUUGGUGGGGUAACGGCUCACCAAGGCGACGAUGCGUAGCCGACCUGAGAGGGUGAUCGGCCACACUGGGACUGAGACACGGCCCAGACUCCUACGGGAGGCAGCAGUAGGGAAUCUUCCGCAAUGGGCGAAAGCCUGACGGAGCAAUGCCGCGUGAGUGAUGAAGGUUUUCGGAUCGUAAAGCUCUGUUGCCAGGGAAGAACG
rnacentral:rRNA from 1 species